rnacentral:rRNA from 1 species
AACGUAGGUGACAAGCGUUAUCCGGAUUUACUGGGCGUAAAGCGCGUGCAGGCGGCUUGGCAAGUCGGGCAUGAAAUCUUUCGGCUUAACCGGGAGAGGCUGUCCGAUACUGCUGGGCUUGAGGGCAGUAGAGGGUGGUGGAAUUCCGCAUGUAGUGGUGAAAUGCGUAGAUAUGCGGAGGAACACCAGUGGCGAAGGCGGCCACCUGGACUGCUCCUGACGCUGAAGCGCGAAAGCUAGGGUAGCGAACGGG